rnacentral:rRNA from 1 species
GACGAACGCUGGCGGCGUGCUUAACACAUGCAAGUCGAACGGUGAAGCGCCUUCCCUUUUGGUUGGUGGGGAGGAGGGGGGAACGGGUGAGUAACACGAGAGUAACCUGCCCCCUUCUUCGGGAUAACCGCAGGAAAGUGAGGCUAAUACGGGAUAUUCUGGGUCUGUCGCAUGAUGGGUCUGGGAAAGAUAUUGUUUCUGUGGGGGAUGGUCUCGCGGCCUAUCAGGUUGGUGGUGGGGUGAUGGCCUACCAAGGCGGUGACGGGGGGCCGGCCUGGGAGGGUCGGCGGUCCCAGUGGGGAUGCGCCACCGCGCCGACUCCUACAGGCGGCAGCAGUGGGUAUUAUUGCACAGUGGGCGCAAGGCUGAUGCCGCGACGCCGCGUGAGGGAUGGCGGCCUUCGGGUUGUGAACCUCUUUCGCCAGUGAAGCAGGCCUGCCUCGUUUGUGGGUGGGUUGACGGUAGCUGGAUAAGAAGCGCCGGCUAACUACGUG